GGAUUAGAUACCCUGGUAGUCCACGCCGUAAACGAUGUUUGCUAGUUGUCAGGCCCUCAGGGUUUGGUGACGGAGAGAAAUCAUUAAGCAAACCGCCUGGUGAGUACGGCCGCAAGGUUAAAACUCAAAGGAAUUGACGGGGACCCGCACAAGCGGUGGAGCAUGUUGUUUAAUUCGAAGCAACGCGAAGAACCUUACCCACUCUUGACAUCCUCCUUGGGACUUGGAGAGAUCCUUGUCUUCGGUUCGGCCGGGGGAGUGACAGGUGCUGCAUGGCUGUCGUCAGCUCGUGCUG
rnacentral:rRNA from 1 species